rnacentral:rRNA from 1 species
AUUGAACGCUGGCGGCAGGCCUAACACAUGCAAGUCGAACGAGUGGCGGACGGGUGAGUAAUGUCUGGGAAACUGCCCGAUGGAGGGGGAUAACUACUGGAAACGGUAGCUAAUACCGCAUACCAUCGGAUGUGCCCAGAUGGGAUUAGCUAGUGGGUGGGGUAAUGGCUCACCUAGGCGACGAUCCCUAGCUGGUCUGAGAGGAUGACCAGCCAAACUGGAAAUGAGACACGGCCCAGACUCCUACGGGAGGCAGCAGUGGGGAAUAUUCGAAAAUGGGCGCAAGCCGGAUGCAGCAAGGCCGCGUGUAUGAAGAAGGCCUUCGGGUUGUAAAGUACUUUCAGCGGGGAGGCGUUACCCGCAGAAAAAGCAACGGCUAACUCCGUGCCAGCAGCCGCGGUAAUAC